rnacentral:rRNA from 1 species
CUGGAGGUAUCAGAAGUGCGAAUGCUGACAUAAGUAACGAUAAAGCGGGUGAAAAGCCCGCUCGCCGGAAGACCAAGGGUUCCUGUCCAACGUUAAUCGGGGCAGGGUGAGUCGACCCCUAAGGCGAGGCCGAAAGGCGUAGUCGAUGGGAAACGGGUUAAUAUUCCCGUACUUGGUGUUACUGCGAAGGGGGGACGGAGAAGGCUAUGUUGGCCGGGCGACGGUUGUCCCGGUUUAAGCGUGUAGGUGUGUGUUCCAGGUAAAUCCGGUUCACUUUAACACUGAGGCGUGACGACGAGGCACUACGGUGCUGAAGCAACAAAUGCCCUGCUUCCAGGAAAAGCCUCUAAGCAUCAGGUAACAUCAAAUCGUACCCCAAACCGACACAGGUGGUCAGGUAGAGAAUACCAAGGCGCUUGAGAGAACUCGGGUGAAGGAACUAGGCAAAAUGGUGCCGUAACUUCGGGAGAAGGCACGCUGACACGUAGGUGAAGUGAUUUACUCAUGGAGCUGAAGUCAGUCGAAGAUACCAGCUGGCUGCAACUGUUUAUUAAAAACACAGCACUGUGCAAACACGAAAGUGGACGUAUACGGUGUGACGCCUGCCCGGUGCCGGAAGGUUAAUUGAUGGGGUCAGCGCAAGCGAAGCUCCUGAUCGAAGCCCCGGUAAACGGCGGCCGUAACUAUAACGGUCCUAAGGUAGCGAAAUUCCUUGUCGGGUAAGUUCCGACCUGCACGAAUGGCGUAAUGAUGGCCAGGCUGUCUCCACCCGAGACUCAGUGAAAUUGAACUCGCUGUGAAGAUGCAGUGUACCCGCGGCAAGACGGAAAGACCCCGUGAACCUUUACUAUAGCUUGACACUGAACAUUGAGCCUUGAUGUGUAGGAUAGGUGGGAGGCUUUGAAGUGUGGACGCCAGUCUGCAUGGAGCCGACCUUGAAAUACCACCCUUUAAUGUUUGAUGUUCUAACGUGGACCCGUGAUCCGGGUUGCGGACAGUGUCUGGUGGGUAGUUUGACUGGGGCGGUCUCCUCCUAAAGAGUAACGGAGGAGCACGAAGGUUGGCUAAUCCUGGUCGGACAUCAGGAGGUUAGUGCAAUGGCAUAAGCCAGCUUGACUGCGAGCGUGACGGCGCGAGCAGGUGCGAAAGCAGGUCAUAGUGAUCCGGUGGUUCUGAAUGGAAGGGCCAUCGCUCAACGGAUAAAAGGUACUCCGGGGAUAACAGGCUGAUACCGCCCAAGAGUUCAUAUCGACGGCGGUGUUUGGCACCUCGAUGUCGGCUCAUCACAUCCUGGGGCUGAAGUAGGUCCCAAGGGUAUGGCUGUUCGCCAUUUAAAGUGGUACGCGAGCUGGGUUUAGAACGUCGUGAGACAGUUCGGUCCCUAUCUGCCGUGGGCGCUGGAGAACUGAGGGGGGCUGCUCCUAGUACGAGAGGACCGGAGUGGACGCAUCACUGGUGUUCGGGUUGUCAUGCCAAUGGCACUGCCCGGUAGCUAAAUGCGGAAGAGAUAAGUGCUGAAAGCAUCUAAGCACGAAACUUGCCCCGA